CCCCAGCGCCACAAGUGGUGAUCGGUUUUAUUGGGCCUAAAGCAUCCGUAGCUGGCCAAAAAAGUCUCUUGUGAAAUCGGGACGCUUAACGUACCGGACUGCAGGAGAUACUAUUUGGCUUGGAACUGGGAGGAGCAAGAGGAAUUUUGGGGGAAGCGGUAAAAUGCUAUAAUCCCCAAAAGACCACCGAUGGCGAAGGCAUCUUGCUAGAACAGAUUCGACAGUCAGGGAUGAAAGCUAGGGGA
rnacentral:rRNA from 1 species